rnacentral:rRNA from 1 species
GAUGAACGCUGGCGGCGUGCCUAAUACAUGCAAGUCGAGCGAACAGACGAGGAGCUUGCUGCUCUGACGUUAGCGGCGGGCGGGUGAGUAACACGUGUAUCACCUCCCUAUCAGACUGGGAUAACUUCGGGAAACCGGAGCUAAUACCGGAUAAUAUUUUGAACCGCAGGGUUCAAUAGUGAAAUACGGUCUUGCUGUCACUUCUCGAUGGAUCCGGGCUGCAUUAGCUAGUUGGUAAGGUAACGGCUUACCAAGGCAACGAUGCAUAGCCGAACUGAGAGGGUGGUCGGCCACCAUGGAAGUUGGACACCGUCCAGAGUCCUGAGGGAGGGAGCAGUAGGGAAUGUUACGCAAUGGGGGGAAGCCUGACGGAGCGACCGCGCGUGAGUGGUGGAAGCGUUGCGAGCGUGAAAACGUGUUAUUAGGGAAAAACCGAUGUGGAAGGUAACGAGGCGAGCGUGACGGUAACUAAUCAGAAAGCAACGGCUAACUACGUG